rnacentral:ncRNA from 1 species
UACCUGGUUGAUCCUGCCAGUAGUCAUAUUCUUGUCUCAAAGAUUAAGCCAUGCAUGUCUAAGUAUCAACUAAUUCAGAUUGUGAAACUUUGGAUGGCUCAUUAAAUCAGUUAUAGUUUCUUUGAUGGUACCCUACUACUCGAAUAACCAUAGUAAUUAUAGAGCUAAUACAUGAACCAAGUCUCAACUCUUUGGAAGGGAUGCAUUUAUUAGAUAAAAAUCUGGUGUGGGCUUGCCCACUUCUUUAGUGAAUCAUGAUAACUCGAUGAAUCACAGAGCCCUUGUGCUAGUGAUGCUUCAUUCAAAUUUCUGCCCUAUCAACUUUCGAUGGUAGGAUAGAGGCCUACCAUAGUGGUGAUGGGUGACGGAAAAUUAGGGUUCUAUUCUGGGGAGGGAGCCUGAGAAACGGUUACCACAUCCAAGGAAGGCAGCAGGCAUGCAAAUUACCAAAACCUAACAUGGGGAGGUAGUGACAAUAAAAAACAAUACUGGGCUCAUCGAGUCUGGUAAUUGGAAUGAGUACAAUCUAAAUCCCUUAAUGAGGAUCCAUUGGAGGGCAAGUCUGGUGCCAACAACCACGAUAAUUCUAGCUCCAAUAGCAUAUAUUUAAGUUGUUGCAGUUAAAAAGCUCGUAGUUGGAUCUUGGGUCAUAAAGGUCGAUAUGCCUAGUCAGUGUGCACCUGCACUUCCGUCCCUUUUGCUGAUGACAUGAUCCUGGCCUUAAUUGGCUGGGUUGUGGUUAUGACGUUGUUACUUUGAAAAAAUUAGAGUUCUCAAAGAAAGCUUAUGCUCUGAAUACAUUAGCAUGGAAUAACGUGAUAGGAGUCUGGUCCUAUUGUGUUGGCCUUCGGGACUAGAGAAAUGAUUAAUAGGGACUAUCGGGGGCAUUCAAAUUUCAUUGUCAGAGGUGAAAUUCUUGGAUUU